rnacentral:rRNA from 1 species
GCUAGCGAUAGGCCUAACACAUGCAAGUCGAGGGGCAGCAUAGGGUAGCAAUACUUUGAUGGCGACCGGCGCACGGGUGAGUAACGCGUAUGCAACCUACCUAUAACAGGGGAAUAAGCCCGGAGAAAUUCGGACUAAUACCGCAUAAAACAGGGGCUCCGCAUGGUGAUAUUUGUUAAAGAUUUAUCGGUUAUAGAUGGGCAUGCGUUCCAUUAGCCAGUUGGUGAGGUAACGGCUCACCAAAGCAACGAUGGAUAGGGGUUCUGAGAGGUUUGUCCCCCACACUGGAACUGAGACACGGACCAGACUCCUACGGGAGGCAGCAGUGAGGAAUAUUGGUCAAUGGGCGAGAGCCUGAACCAGCCAAAUCGCGUGAAGGAAGACUGCCUUAUGGGUUGUAAACUUCUUUUAUACAGGAAUAAAAAGAUUACGUGUAACUUAUUGCAAGUACAGUACGAAUAAGCAUCGGCUAACUCCGUGCCAGCAGCCGCGGUAAUACGGAGGAUGCGAGCGUUAUCCGGAUUUAUUGGGUUUAAAGGGUGCGCAGGCGGGAACUUAAGUCAGCGGUGAAAUCUCGACGCUUAACGUCGAAACUGCCGUUGAAACUGGGUUUCUUGAGUAUAGAUGAAGUAGGCGGAAUUCGUUGUGUAGCGGUGACAUGCUUAGAUAUAACGAGGAACUCCGAUUGCGUAGGCAGCUUACUAAGCUAUAACUGACGCUGAAGCACGAAAGCGUGGGGAUCAAACAGGAUUAGAUACCCUGGUAGUCCACGCCGUAAACGAUGAUUACUAGUUGUAUGCGAUAUACCGUAUGUGACUAAGCGAAAGCGAUAAGUAAUCCACCUGGGGAGUACGCCGGCAACGGUGAAACUCAAAGGAAUUGACGGGGGC